AACCGCGGUUAUACGAGAGGCCCAAAUUGACAAAUCACGGCGUAAAGUGUGAUUAGAGAUAAGCCUGAAAUAGAGCCAAACACCCCCUAUGCUGUCAUACGCCAUGGGGGACACGAAGACCGGCAACGAAAGUGGCUCUAUUAAUCUUGAACUCACGACAGCUAAGAUA
rnacentral:rRNA from 1 species